rnacentral:rRNA from 1 species
GAUGAACGCUGGCGGCGUGCCUAAUACAUGCAAGUCGAGCGAAUGGAUUAAGAGCUUGCUCUUAUGAAGUUAGCGGCGGACGGGUGAGUAACACGUGGGUAACCUGCCCAUAAGACUGGGAUAACUCCGGGAAACCGGGGCUAAUACCGGAUAACAUUUUGAACCGCAUGGGUCGAAAGUGAAUGGCGGCUUCGGCUGUCACUUAUGGAUGGACCCGCGUCGCAUUAGCUAGUUGGUGAGGUAACGGCUCACCAAGGCAACGAUGCGUAGCCGACCUGAGAGGGUGAUCGGCCACACUGGGACUGAGACACGGCCCAGACUCCUACGGGAGGCAGCAGUAGGGAAUCUUCCGCAAUGGACGAAAGUCUGACGGAGCAACGCCGCGUGAGUGAUGAAGGCUUUCGGGUCGUAAAACUCUGUUGUUAGGGAAGAACAAGUGCUAGUUGAAUAAGCUGGCACCUUGACGGUACCUAACCAGAAAGCCACGGCUAACUACGUGCCAGCCGCCGCGGUAA